rnacentral:rRNA from 1 species
UACAGAGGUGGCAAGCGUUGUUCGGAAUUACUGGGCGUAAAGGGCGCGUAGGCGGUCCUGUAAGUCCUGUGUGAAAUCCCUCGGCUCAACCGAGGAACUGCACAGGAAACUGCGGGACUGAGUUCGGGAGAGGGAAGCGGAAUUCCGGGUGUAGCGGUGAAAUGCGUAGAUAUCCGGAGGAACACCGGUGGCGAAGGCGGCUUCCUGGACCGACACUGACGCUGAGGCGCGAAAGCCAGGGGAGCAAACGGG